rnacentral:piRNA from 1 species
UUACAGUUUCACAACUAUACA